rnacentral:rRNA from 1 species
AAAGAGAGCUUGCUCUCUGGAAUCAGCGGCGGACGGGUGAGUAACACGUGGGCAACCUGCCUGUAAGACUGGGAUAACUCCGGGAAACCGGGGCUAAUACCGGAUAACUUCUUUUCCCGCAUGGGGAGAGGUUGAAAGACGGUUAUGCUGUCACUUACAGAUGGGCCCGCGGCGCAUUAGCUAGUUGGUGGGGUAACGGCCUACCAAGGCGACGAUGCGUAGCCGACCUGAGAGGGUGAUCGGCCACACUGGGACUGAGACACGGCCCAGACUCCUACGGGAGGCAGCAGUAGGGAAUCUUCCGCAAUGGACGAAAGUCUGACGGAGCAACGCCGCGUGAGUGACGAAGGCCUUCGGGUCGUAAAACUCUGUUAUCAGGGAAGAACAAGCAUCGUUUAACUGACGGUGCCAUGACGGUACCUGACCAGAAAGCCACGGCUAACUACGUGCCAGCAGCCGCGGUAAUACGUAGGUGGCAAGCGUUGUCCGGAAUUAUUGGGCGUAAAGCGCGCGCAGGCGGCUUCUUAAGUCUGAUGUGAAAGCCCACGGCUCAACCGUGGAGGGUCAUUGGAAACUGGGAGGCUUGAGUGCAGAAGAGGAGAGCGGAAUUCCACGUGUAGCGGUGAAAUGCGUAGAGAUGUGGAGGAACACCAGUGGCGAAGGCGGCUCUCUGGUCUGUAACUGACGCUGAGGCGCGAAAGCGUGGGUAGCGAACAGGAUUAGAUACCCUGGUAGUCCACGCCGUAAACGAUGAGUGCUAAGUGUUAGGGGGUUUCCGCCCCUUAGUGCUGCAGCAAACGCAUUAAGCACUCCGCCUGGGGAGUACGGCCGCAAGGCUGAAACUCAAAGGAAUUGACGGGGGCCCGCACAAGCGGUGGAGCAUGUGGUUUAAUUCGAAGCAACGCGAAGAACCUUACCAGGUCUUGACAUCCCGCUGGCCGGUCUGGAGACAGAUCUUUCCCUUCGGGGACAGCGGUGACAGGUGGUGCAUGGUUGUCGUCAGCUCGUGUCGUGAGAUGUUGGGUUAAGUCCCGCAACGAGCGCAACCCUUGAUCUUAGUUGCCAGCAUUCAGUUGGGCA